rnacentral:tRNA from 1 species
AUAUUGUUAGUAUAAGAUAUUAUAUCACUUUUCCAAUGUGAGGAUCUAUUAUUUAUACUUUUGUAUAUG